rnacentral:rRNA from 1 species
UACGGGGGGUGCGAGCGUUGUCCGGAAUCACUGGGCGUAAAGGGCGCGUAGGUGGUUUGAUAAGGGUGUGGUGAAAGUCCGGGGCUCAACCCCGGAUCUGCCGUGCCGACUGUCAAACUCGAGGACUGUAGAGGCAGACGGAAUUCCGGGUGUAGCGGUGGAAUGCGUAGAGAUCCAGAGGAAGACCGGUGGCGAAGGCGGUCUGCUGGGCAGUUUCUGACACUGAGGCGCGACAGCGUGGGGAGCAAACAGG